UACAGAGGGUGCGAGCGUUAAUCGGAAUUACUGGGCGUAAAGCGCGCGUAGGCGGCUUUGCAAGUCGGGUGUGAAAUCCCCAGGCUUAACCUGGGAACUGCAUUCGAGACUGCAUUGCUAGAGUGCGGUAGGGGAGACUGGAAUUCCUGGUGUAGCGGUGAAAUGCGCAGAUAUCAGGAGGAACACCGGUGGCGAAGGCGGGUCUCUGGGCCGUAACUGACGCUGAGGAGCGAAAGCGUGGGGAGCGAACAGG
rnacentral:rRNA from 1 species